GUCAUACUCCCUCCGUCCGAAAAUACUUGUCAUCAAAAUGGAUAAAAAGGGAUGUAUCUAAAACUAAUAUACGUCUAGAUACAUCUUCUUUUAUUCAUUUUGAUGACAAGUAUUUCCGGACGGAGGGAGUAUUAA
rnacentral:pre_miRNA from 1 species